rnacentral:piRNA from 1 species
CGGUGCAAUGAGACUAGCCUCGUGG